rnacentral:lncRNA from 10 species
GCGGCUGCUAGGAGGCUGUGUCCGCAAGCCAGCGGGGCGAGGCGCCUGGGCCCUGCGCGUCAGGUCCCGGCCUGGGGCACCGGGGCUGCCAGCGUCGGAGGAGUCUGAAUCUUUGUGUUUGGCUGCCCAGGCUCGCCUUGACACCGAAUGGUUGAAAACAGAUAUACAGAUGGUAGUGUCGAACCAAGUGGAACAAAGAAAGAAGAUCUGAAUGACAAAGAGAAAAAAAAUGAAGACGAAACUCCUGCACCUGUAUAUAGGGCCAAGUCAAUUCUGGAGACCUGGGUGUGGGUCAAGCAACCAGGUAAUCUGAGUUUUGGCACUUUGGAAAGCUUGAUCUGACGCUCCUUUUCUAAAUAACUUGGAUGGAUUAUUCGUAUUUUUUGGUAACAAUUUUAAAAAAUGUAAUUAAAAAAAUUUAAAUAUCGUGGUAAA